GACGAACGCUGGCGGCGUGCUUAACACAUGCAAGUCGAGCGGUAAGGCCCUUUCGGGGGUACACGAGCGGCGAACGGGUGAGUAACGCGUGGGUGACCUGCCUCUAGCUCUGGGAUAAGCCUGGGAAGCUGGGUCUAAUACCGGAUAUGACCUCGCGGUGCAUGUUGCGGGGUGGAAAGCCUUGUGCGGCUAGGGAUGGGCCCGCGGCCUAUCAGCUUGUUGGUGGGGUGANGGCCUACCAAGGCGACGACGGGUAGCCGGCCUGAGAGGGCGACCGGCCACACUUGGGACUGAGACACGGCCCAGACUCCUACGGGAGGCAGCAGUGGGGAAUCUUGCGCAAUGGGCGAAAGCCUGACGCAGCGACGCCGCGUGAGGGAUGACGGCCUCGG
rnacentral:rRNA from 1 species